UUUUUUUUGUUUGAGCUUUUUCCCAAAACUUAUCAGCGACGUCAUGUUGAACUUACAACUUUUAAUUUGCAAACUUGUUGUGUUUUUACAAUUCCAAAGCUAGCAAGCAGUAGGAGUUUCACCCAACAAAGGGGCUAAUUACAUAGAGCAGCCGCAGUAAUACCACAGUCAGAUUGAUAGCUAGCAACAAUAGUAGUGAUUACCUACACACAUACACAUGAACUGAUAACAAACUUGCACAUGACCUGACAAACAAGAAAAUACAUUGACGGACAAAAAGAAUACAAUACACAUGAACUGAUAAUCCCCAUGGCUAAUGGCAGAGCUUUGUUGCAUCUAGGUUCACCCGUUUACUCAAAGUAGAACAUCUCAGUUCUAUUAAUUUGGGCUGAUGUUUGAAUGUUCACCAUUUUGGCCUACAUCAGAAUACUGAGAACAAAACAAUAUUUGCUUAUUAAGGCAUAACACACAACACCUCUUGUGCUACAGGAAGACACAUAAACAGAGGAGAAAUUGGACAUAGAAUUGCCAACUAGGUGAACUGAAAAGCACACAUAACAUGUACUAAAAAAGAACACAACAUCCUUAGCGUUGCGUCGACCACCUGUGGUAAAGGUGAACGGCUUGCGGUGGUAGAGGUGAACAGCCUGAUCACUGCGUCGUCGCACGACCUUGUGUGGCGGAGGUGAACGGCUUGAGCGUUGCGUCAUCGAAUGGCCUUGUGUGGAGGCAGUGAACGGCCUGGGCCAUGAAGGUUCAAGCAGGUUCGAGAAGUGGUGUUGAGAGGCUGUGUGGGACUGUAUUUGUAUUGUUUGAAUAAGUUCAGUAGCUGCUCACCACGCACACCUACUCAACUGCUUCAUGCCACCGUCCCUGCACACACACAACAGCCAUCAAUUAGCAUGCACAAGUUCAUGUAAAAAGAACAACAAGUUCAUGUACAGUAACAUUACAUGUUCACAAUGAAACCUAAAAAGAUGUGUACUUUGAAAUACUUCAUUUUACUUCCCAAAUACUUCAUUGUUUUGAAAUAUGAACUUCUAUAUUUAUUUCCGUAGAAGUUAUUAUGUUUUCCCUCCAAACUACAAGAACAUGAUUAGUUUACUUACCCACAAAAUAUUUUAUUCAAAUACUUUCCAAAUACUUUCUGUUUUUUUAUAAGCGAACUGAUGGAAAUCUACGCGGUGCACUUUGGUAUUUUAUUCAAGGUGAACUGAUGUAUUUGGAAAUGCACGGUUGACCUAGUUACUGUGUAGGAUGUGUUCACACACCUAUAAUUCAGAAUUGAACUGAACGACCCAUUUUUUCUUGUACUGAAGCUUGUUCUUCACUGUUUGGUUUACAGGGGUGCCAACGAUGAAUUGAAU
rnacentral:lncRNA from 1 species